rnacentral:rRNA from 1 species
CCUACGGGAGGCAGCAGUGAGGAAUAUUGGUCAAUGGACGAGAGUCUGAACCAGCCAAGUAGCGUGAAGGAUGACUGCCCUAUGGGUUGUAAACUUCUUUUAUAUGGGAAUAAAAUGUUCCACGUGUGGGAUUUUGUAUGUACCAUACGAAUAAGGAUCGGCUAACUCCGUGCCAGCAGCCGCGGUAAUACGGAGGAUCCGAGCGUUAUCCGGAUUUAUUGGGUUUAAAGGGAGCGUAGGUGGAUUGUUAAGUCAGUUGUGAAAGUUUGCGGCUCAACCGUAAAAUUGCAGUUGAAACUGGCAGUCUUGAGUACAGUAGAGGUGGGCGGAAUUCGUGGUGUAGCGGUGAAAUGCUUAGAGAUCACGAAGAACUCCGAUUGCGAAGGCAGUUCACUGGACUGCAACUGACACUGAGGCUCGAAAGUGUGGGUAUCAAACAGGAUUAGAUACCCCAGUAGUC